GCCUGGGUGGCUCAGUCAGUUGAGCAUCCGACUUCGGUUCAGGUCAUGAUCUUACGGUUCAUGGGUUCAAGCCCCGUGUCAGGCU
rnacentral:tRNA from 1 species